UUGACUUUCUCAACUCCUCUUCAAUUUUUCUUUGUCUCUUCUGGUCUUUUCUUUUGCGUCUUCGAAACAGUAAUCAUGUCAGUUAUGUUUUGCCUGGAUUUUCGCUUCCUUCAUCCCAACUUCUGUGUAUUUCCUUGAGAAUAAGGGCCUUUGUUGUAUAUGUGUUUGAGAAAAAUUCUUCAAUGAAUCAGACUUUCUACUCGAUUUCUAUUAUAGUCUUUGGAUUUAAUUUCUUGGUUAGCGGGUGAAGAAUAAUCUGGUAAUUUUGAUUUUGGGUAAUCUGAUUUUAGGUGACUAUCUCCAAGGAUGGCAUCGUUAUUCUUGACUUUGCUGGUUGGAAGACAUAGAUGAAAGAUGGUGCACUAUUGGUUAAACCAGCUGAAUAAAUGGACUAACUCUUUGAAUUUAACGGGAAUCCGCAGACGCUACCUCUCGGGUAUACAAAAUAAGUUCCACUCCCGUGUAAUAACCCGCAAAUCAUACAAGAGGGUAGACCGCACUAGGCAAGCCCGUGCGAUGGGCUCGGCAGAGGAAGUAUGCAAGUGGAUUUUAAACCCUAGAUCUAGACCUCCCAUUUGAGAAGUGCUCUGCUCAGUCAGCUCGGCUAUCCCGAAAGGCCAAAAUCUACCUCAAGGAGGUUCGACAUGAAGUGAUAUUACGAAAAGUAAAUUGGCCGAGGUCGAUUAGUAAACGGCAGGGUUCAAAGCCGAGCAAUCAAUAACGGCUGAGGUCAAGUAUUAGGGGUAAUAAUAACAACUAGUUUUGUAAUAGGAUCUUUAGGAGAAUAUCCCAUUGAAUGUACUUGUACUUUUAGGGUUAACCGGAGAUAUGUUCCAGAUAAAUAGAGAGGGGGAUAAGGUGAAAGGAGGGCAAGAUUUUCUGAUAAGAACACUCUUUGAAAAGAAGACUUGCUCCCUAGAUAAAAUACAAACACUACCUUUCUAAAGAGAUUCGAUUGUCUAUUAUUCCACACUUUUUCAUCAGAUUCGAGAAUAGUUCCAAUAUUCUAGUAUUUAUCUAUCACUCAUCAUUGUCAGAAGGAAGAAUCAUCCACCUCAUUUAAUAUGGGGUGAAUCAUUCUCCUUAUUUACUUUAAUGUUAUUUAUUGUGAUUUAUUGCUCAACAUUCUCCUAUCAUUAAUCAUCCUGAAACAUUGAAUGUACACCGCAUUUAAUCUCGUUAACCGAUUAUAGAUCUGAGAUUAUUAUCACUAGCUAAGUUUAACCCCUCGUUACAUAAAAUUAAUUAGUUUAAUCAAAUGUUUAAGCUUUUUGGUCAAACACAUUUGAAUUCAAGUCUAACCGCUCGAUUUAACGCGCCAAUGGUAGUUAGACAAGUUUUCGCGGAAAAUUUAGGGUCAGAUCGGUCAAUAAAGAAAACUCUUCCACCGAUCGAGCACCUUCUCAAAAACUCUUCAUUUGUUUCUGUUUUCCAUAUCGCUACUCUCUUCUCAAAUGCUCUUUUCUACUCUCCUCAGAACAGGAACGAGGUUUCUCACUCCACUCCGAUUCUCUUGCCAACUUUCUUAGGUAUGCUCCUUUCUCUUUCUCCACACACACUAACACCCAUGCUGUGUGUAAUAUUUGUAUAUAUAUACUCCCUCUGAAUUUUUCCGGAGAACUAGGGUCAAACUUACCAAUUUUUUAUCUGA